GUGCUCCUUUCAGCAACACAUAAUCUAAAACUUCAACAACACAGAGGUUAGUAUGGCCUUUGUGCAAAGAGGAUACAAAAAGUUUUGAAGUGCUCCAUAUUUUG
ensembl:snRNA U6 U6 spliceosomal RNA